GGAUGGCGAUCUGGCUGCAACAUCUGUCAGCCCACUGAUCGCCUGGGUUGAUUUGGCUGAUCCGGCUGCCUAGACAGUGUCCCCUUCCUCCCUCAACGUUCCAUGCACAUCCCUCCCAAAGCUGUGUGCUCCAUCGAAGAGGAGCUGAUAGAGGGGACCAGUCCUUGGUCAAGGGUAUGAGGAGCUGUGCUCCCCUGCUAAAAUCUCCAAACAAACACCUAGACAUUAAAUAACACACUCCUGAACAUGCAAUGGGUCACAGAGGAAAUCAAGGAAGAAACAAAAUAAUCAAAAAAUAACACCAGUACAACAUGCCAGAACCUAUGG
rnacentral:snRNA from 1 species